GCAUGAAGGUUGGUGAUCUUAUGAAUUCUGCUAUUAUGGGAAAAUCCGAGAGGUUCAUGUAGAGAAUGAGAAGGUUAUCCAAGAGUAUGUUCUAGGUGAAUAUGACCCUGAUGCAACCGAUGCUUACCAUGACAAUCACACCUCCGAGUCUGCCGAUGAGGAUCACGUGAAAGAUACUUCUAAGAGAAAGCACCUGGGAUAUACUAAGCAGAGUGGUGCCUUAACAACUUCUUGUGAUAUAAUGAGAUGUUGAAGCGGCAGACCGAAUCCAUGACACCGAAGUGCAAUUGCGGCAGAUUAUCUCUAUUUUCCAUUUAAUUUUUCUUAUUAUUGGAGUGAGAACGGGUAGAAUGAGGA